CUUAGUCCCUUUCAAAUCGCUUAUCAAUGAUGCUAUUAAUAUAGAGUAUCUUGGCCUGUAUAAGAAUCCUGACUUAUACAUUGGUAAGAUACCAGUCUCGUCUCUUUCGAAGAAAUUGGUAAAUCUGAAGGAAUAGUUGCUAUAGAACAUUUUAUCAAGAUGAAUUUCACCAAAAUACUAAAUGUGAAACAAGAGUUUUAUUGAUGUGGUUCUAUUACUGAUGGAUCGUAGAAGGUGCCGAUCCAUAUUGUCAACUACAUUGACAAGCUAAAUCUAGAUAAGAAAGUUAAAGUUAUUGGGCAGAUUGAUAACUGAAGUGGUAUAAUAACUUUGAUUUGAAAGCGGACAUCGAUGGUGUGAUUUUGAUACCAGAAGUUACAAAAAUGUCAUAAAAACAACUAAUACGUGGAAAUAAAAUUACCAAGAGAGGGCAUAAGUAAGUUAUUAUACAAUAACAGACAUUCAAGGUUAUUUCUUUGGGAAAAUUAUACUUCACGACUGUUUUCACAUUAGUUUGAGUAUCUUUUUUUUUAAAUAUUAAUUGGAUAACGUUAAUUAUCCAAAUUACUUUAAAGCACAUUGUAAAACUAUUAUGAUUUAUUUGAUUCUGGUAAGUUACUUCAGAAAUCUAAGUAUUUAAAGAAAUAUAGUUAUAAACUUGAAUUUAUUUUUUAUCAUAAUAGGUUUGACUGAAUAGAAAAUAGAAAAUAUGAUAU